GCAAAUGUUAAUGUACUUGGCUGCUAACCAAAAGGUUGGUGGUUCAAAUCCACC
rnacentral:tRNA from 1 species